ensembl:lncRNA
GGACACGGGCGUCAAAACCGACAGCAGCGCGGGUGCGUGCAGGUAAAGGCAGAAAUCACCUCGUGUCUCCCAGUCCGGCCACGUUCACCCAAGGAAGGUGGGGAGAAGUCAAUGUCCAGGGAAAAUGUGCAACCAUCAUCUGCAAACGAAGAGUGGGAAAUCCUACGGGAUACGGUGAUGGAGCAAAAGGGGGGGAUGGAAAACAUCUGUACGUCGGUUGAGCAUCGGGAGCCUUUGUGCCCGAGUCGUUUUGGAAGGCGGAGGGGCAUCGGGACUUCCCGUCCCUCCCUGUGCCCUUCCUGUGUUGCGCAGCGGUCACAGAGAAGGACGCACCGGGGAGCGCUGGGCACAGCCGUGUCCCCGAAAUUUGCACCUGCAAAGAGGGAGCGAGCCAGGCGAGGGGAAUGUGCGACGGGAUGGAGAAAUAUCGAAUGUUUCUGGCCGUGUGCGUUGCCAAAGGUUUGCACAUUUUGUCUGAAAACACCCAGAGUUAGAGGCGGAGGGGAGAGAGGGGGGAUUUUAAUAAAAACCAUUUGCCACUUGUCUUCAAUUAGAGUCCAGACAUCGAGCAAUAAGGAAAAAACCUUUUCUAAUAUAUAUAUAUAUUAUUAUUAUUAUUAUCUCGCUAGCAG